CGGGGUGCAGCAGGCGCGAAAACUUUACAAUGCCUGCAACGGCGAUAAGGGGACCUCGAGUGCCAGGUUACAAAUCUGGCUGUCGUGAUGCCUAAAAAGCAUUGCAUAGCAAGGGCCGGGCAAGACCGGUGCCAGCCGCCGCGGUAACACCGGCGGCUCGAGUGGUAACCGUUAUUAUUGGGUCUAAAGGGUCUGUAGCCGGCCGGAUAAGUCUCUUGGGAAAUCUGGCAGCUUAACUGUCAGGCUUUCAGGAGAUACUGUCUGGCUCGAGGCCGGGAGAGGUGAGAGGUACUUCAGGGGUAGGGGUGAAAUCUUGUAAUCCUUGAAGGACCACCAGUGGCGAAGGCGUCUCACCAGAGCGGACCUGACGGCAAGGGACGAAAGCUAGGGGCACGAACCGGAUUAGAUACCCGGGUAGUCCUAGCCGUAAACGAUACUCGCUAGGUGUCGGCCACGGUGCGACCGUGGUCGGUGCCGUAGGGAAGCCGUGAAGCGAGCCACCUGGGAAGUACGGCCGCAAGGCUGAAACUUAAAGGAAUUGGCGGGGGAGCACAAGGGCGAUUCGCG
rnacentral:rRNA from 1 species